UCAGAUGCGAAAGCGUGGGUAGCAAACAGGAUUAGAUACCCUGGUAGUCCACGCCGUAAACGCUGUCUACUUGGAGGUUGAGGUUUUAGACUUUGGCUUUCGGCGCUAACGCAUUAAGUAGACCGCCUGGGGAGUACGGCCGCAAGGUUAAAACUCAAAUGAAUUGACGGGGGCCCGCACAAGCGGUGGAGCAUGUGGUUUAAUUCGAUGCAACGCGAAGAACCUUACCUACUCUUGACAUCCAGCGAAGCCUUUAGAGAUAGAGGCGUGCCUUCGGGAGCGCUGAGACAGGUGCUGCAUGGCUGUCGUCAGCUCGUGUUGUGAAAUGUUGGGUUAAGUCCCGCAACGAGCGCAACCCUUAUCCUUGUUUGCCAGCACAUAAUGGUGGGAACUCCAGGGAGACUGCCGGUGAUAAACCGGAGGAAGGUGGGGACGACGUCAAGUCAUCAUGGCCCUUACGAGUAGGGCUACACACGUGCUACAAUGGCAGAUACAGAGGGCAGCGAGACAGCGAUGUUUAGCGAAUCCCUUAAAGUUUGUCGUAGUCCGGAUUGGAGUCUGCAACUCGACUCCAUGAAGUCGGAAUCGCUAGUAAUCGUGGAUCAGAAUGCCACGGUGAAUACGUUCCCGGGCCUUGUACACACCGCCC
rnacentral:rRNA from 1 species